rnacentral:rRNA from 1 species
AUUGAACGCUGGCGGCGUGCUUAACACAUGCAAGUCGAUCGGUAACAGGUGUAGCAAUACAUGCUGACGAGAGGCGGACGGGUGAGUAAUGCUUGGGAAUCUGCCUAUUAGUGGGGGACAACCCGGGGAAACUCGGGCUAAUACCGCAUACGCUCUACGGAGGAAAGCCGGGGACCGCAAGGCCUGGCGCUAAUAGAUGAGCCCAAGUCGGAUUAGCUAGUUGGUAGGGUAACGGCCUACCAAGGCGACAAUCCGUAGCUGGUCUGAGAGGACGACCAGCCACACCGGAACUGAGACACGGUCCGGACUCCUACGGGAGGCAGCAGUGGGGAAUAUUGGACAAUGGGGGCAACCCUGAUCCAGCGACGCCGCGUGGGUGAAGAAGGCCUGCGGGUUGUAAAGCCCUUUCGGUGGGGAAGAAAAGUCUCGACCUAAUACGUCGGGACCUUGACGUAACCCACUAAAGAAGCACC